rnacentral:snRNA from 1 species
AUAUUUACCUGGCAGGGGAGAUACCAUAAUCAUGAAAGUGGUUUUUCCAGGGUGAAGCUCAUCCAUUGCACCUCAGGCGUGCUGAUCCCUGUGAUUUCUCCAAAUGUGGGAAAUUCAGCUGCAUAAUUUGUGGCAGUGGGGGACUGUGUUUGCGCUUUCCCCUG